GUGAAGGCCACAGCAUAUGAUUCACAUCAGUUUCAUACUCAUCAGACCAUUCAGUGACCCCUCGUGCCCUGUGGAUGGAGGCACUGCCAACCUGGAAGUGUCCCUCUCAUCUCCUGUGGUGUUCACCGUCAUCAGUGCUAUGAGAACAGCAGGAGAGGCAGAAAUUGAUUUUGGCUCGUGGUUUUCAAGAUCAAAGAUUUCUCUACAUUAGCUGCUGUGUUGGAGAGCCGACACAACAAAGGAAGAGUGAGGUAUAAAUUGACACUUUUGUACACGUUUUCAGCACAACAGCUCAGUGGGAUAAUGGAGACGCACAUGCGUCAGCAUCAAGAGAUUUUUAUUCUGCUUUUAUUUUCAGAUCCAAGUACUAUACAUCGACUGAAAACAUUUUACAGUCAGGACUUACAAGUCAACCCACAAAUACACUCAGUUUAAUAACCACUAGUUGUCACACCUUUUUCGACCCUCACCAGUUUGCAACUCUGUUUUUUGCACUUGAACUGGCUGCAUAUGAUUAUAAAUGUCAAGUGAUUGCAUCCACUUAUAACGAUGUUACCUUGGCAGAAACUUAUCCUCUGGUCGGCCUCGCUGACAAAGUGUUCCCUUGACAUACGCACCACCUUGGGGAGGUCAAAGAUCAUCACGGCGCAUUCUGGACAUCAAGCAGGAAUCAGCAGAAGAGAAACUCAAAGAGCAGCAAGAAGGAGCAGAACCAGCACACUGUACAAGACCCCAGGCUAACCUGACCGCCUCAGUUUGUUAAUGACCUCCUUUGACGGGAGGUGUGUGUGACUGUUACAGUGCAGGAACUGUGUUGUAUUGUUUAGUUUUCUUCUGUCUUGUUGCAUUUGUAUUCUAUUUAUUUAGUAUAUUUUCUGAUACCCAUUUAUUUGUGCAGAUCAUUUAAUUAAAAAUCACGAUAUAUAA